rnacentral:rRNA from 1 species
UACAGAGGGUGCGAGCGUUGUCCGGAAUCACUGGGCGUAAAGGGCGCGUAGGUGGUGGCUUAAGCGUGCGGUGAAAGCUCGGGGCUCAACUCCGAGUCGGCCGUGCGAACUGGGCUCACUGGAGCAUAGUAGAGGCAGGUGGAAUUCCGGGUGUAGCGGUGGAAUGCGUAGAGAUCCGGAAGAACAGCCGGUGGCGAAGGCGGCCUGCUGGGCUAUGGCUGACACUGAGGCGCGACGAGCGUGGGGAGCAAACAGGAUUGAGAACCUA